rnacentral:rRNA from 1 species
GAUGAACGCUAGCGGCAGGCUUAAUACAUGCAAGUCGAGGGGCAGCAGCUUUAUAGCAAUAUAGAGGCUGGCGACCGGCAAACGGGUGCGGAACACGUACACAACCUUCCUUUAAGAGGGGGAUAGCCCAUAGAAAUGUGGAUUAAUACCCCGUAACAUAUCGGUGUGGCAUCACACUGUUAUUAUAGUUUCGACGCUUGAAGAUGGGUGUGCGGCUGAUUAGGUAGUUGGCGGGGUAAAGGCCCACCAAGCCUUCGAUCAGUAGCUGAUGUGAGAGAAUGAUCGUCCACACGGGCACGGAGACACGGGCCCGACUCCUACGGGAGGCAGCAGUAAGGAAUAUUGGUCAAUGGACGAAAGUCUGAACCAGCCAUGCCGCGUGAAGGAUGAAGGUCCUCUGGAUUGUAAACUUCUUUUAUAGGGGGCGAAAAAAGGGAAUUCUUUCUCACUUGACAGUACCCUAUGAAUAAGCACCGGCUAACUCCGUGCCAGCAGCCGCCGUAA